AGAUACAUGCAGAAUGGGGAGGGGCCCUUUCCCAAAGGGAAGGGAUGGCUUUUAAUAGUAAAAAAGUGAGAAAAGAGUUGCCGAGAAGACAAUAGGACAGAUUCAUGCUAGAGAUAAUCAUUUAUAACUGAUCUAGCUAGAAUUUUACUGUCAUUGUAUAGAUUAAAAUAGAGCUUUGAAAUUUUAUGUAUCAAGUUCUUCAUUCCCUAUGAGAGUAUGUUUGUCACGUCAUUACUUCUGCACAGGUCAAGGAUGUGGUAGGAGCUUCUGCUUUUUGGAUGAGAAGCAAACAACCGUGAUAAACUUCAGGUCUGUCCUUCCAUCACCUUGACAUCAGCUUUUCCUCCAUCUAUGGAAAGUUCCAUUGUGUCCCUGUCCAGUGUGACAAGGCACUAGAAAUCAGAGCUGCUCUGUCUGUUCUCUGUGCCAGUCAUUUCCUUUCUGUUCCUGGCGCUCGUCUAAGUGCUGGAAUGUGGAUGUGAUGGCUGGAGCUCCAGCAACUGUUUUAUGACCUUGAGUAUGGAAUUCACACUUGAAGAAGCCACAAACUGAGAAUGGGAGAACAGAAAGAGAAAAGCAUCUUGAUUCCCUGAUGAUUUCAUGGAG
rnacentral:lncRNA from 1 species